UCUGUUUUUUAGGGUGACCUCCCUUUGCACUCAACGUGUCUUUAACCCUUUUAUUUAGACAACAUGAGAUUUGUGGCAUUAAUUUUCUGGUGUUUUAUACCUGGUUUCAUUCACCACAUGUCAGAUGUUUAGAAUAGCUUGUACUGCUUCUUGUCAUGGGGUCAGAGGUCAAACUAAAUUGUGACUUUAACCUUUAUAACACA